rnacentral:rRNA from 1 species
AUGGGAACUCCAGCUAACAUCAUUGUUGGUUCUCAUGUUUGGGUGGAGGAUCCAACUCUAGCAUGGAUAGAUGGCGAGGUUGUCAGCAUAAAAAACAAUGAAGUUCAUGUGCAGACAUCAAAUGGGAAAAAGGUUACUACAGACAGAUCAAAAGUUUUUCCCAAGGAUAUGGAAGCUCCACCAGGAGGAGUGGAUGAUAUGACAAGAUUAUCAUACUUACACGAGCCUGGGGUUCUACAGAAUCUUGCUACGCGUUAUGAACUGAAUGAAAUAUAUACUUACACUGGUAGCAUUUUGAUUGCGGUAAAUCCGUUUCAAAGAUUACCGCAUCUUUAUGAUACCCACAUGAUGGAACAAUACAAGGGUGCAGAUUUUGGGGAGCUGAGUCCACACGUCUUUGCAAUUGCUGACGUUGCUUAUAGGGAAAUGAUAAAUGAAGGGAAAAACAACUCUAUUUUAGUCAGUGGUGAAAGUGGUGCUGGCAAGACUGAAACAACAAAGAUGCUUAUGAGAUAUCUAGCACACUUAGGUGGACGAUCUGGAGUAGAAGGGCGAACUGUAGAGCAACAAGUUCUAGAGUCAAAUCCAGUCCUUGAAGCUUUUGGUAACGCAAAAACUGUGAGGAACAAUAACUCGAGUCGCUUUGGCAAGUUUGUGGAGAUCCAAUUUGACAAGACUGGACGAAUCUCGGGAGCUGCUAUAAGAACUUACUUGCUGGAAAGAUCCCGCGUAUGCCAAAUAAAUACUCCGGAAAGAAAUUAUCAUUGCUUCUAUUUUCUUUGUGCGGCACCACCUGAGGAUACCCAAAGGUAUAAGUUGGCUGAUGCUAGAUCUUUUCACUACCUCAAUCAGUCAAGCUGUAUUGAGGUUGAAGGAAUUAAUGACGCGGAAGAGUAUUUAGCAACACGGAGGGCCAUGGACAUAGUUGGAAUCAAUGAGGAAGAACAGGAAGCUAUAUUCCGGGUUGUAGCAGCUGUACUUCAUAUUGGAAAUAUAAAUUUCGCCAAGGGAAAAGAAGUUGAUUCAUCUGUGAUUCAGGAUGAUAACUCGAGGUUUCACCUUAACACUGCAUCAGAGCUAUUGGAGUGUGAUUGCAAUAAUUUGGAGAAGGCACUGAUAACACGAGAAAUAGUUACUCCUGAAGAAAUAAUUACUAGAACACUUGAUCCUGAGUCGGCACUUGCUAGCAGAGAUGCAUUAGCCAAAACAAUAUACUCCCGAUUGUUUGAUUGGAUCGUGGAAAAAAUUAAUGUCUCCAUUGGACAAGACCCAAACUCUAAACAACUGAUUGGUGUUCUUGAUAUCUAUGGAUUCGAGAGUUUCAAAAUUAACAGUUUUGAACAGUUAUGCAUCAAUUAUACAAAUGAAAAGCUGCAGCAACAUUUUAAUCAGCAUGUGUUCAAAAUGGAGCAAGAGGAAUAUACUAGGGAGGAGAUAAACUGGAGUUACAUAGAGUUUGUUGAUAAUCAAGAUGUGCUAGACUUGAUUGAGAAGAAAGGUGGAUUGAUUGCGCUUCUGGAUGAAGCAUGUAUGUUUCCCAGAUCAACACAUGAGACAUUUGCACAGAAGCUGUAUACAACAUUUAAGAAUAACAAGCGAUUCGUCAAACCAAAGCUUUCACGUACAGACUUUACAGUUGUCCAUUAUGCUGGCGAUGUGACAUACCAGGCUGAUCAUUUCUUAGACAAGAACAAAGAUUAUGUAGUGGCGGAACAUCAGGAUUUGCUGAAUGCUUCUUCAUGUCCUUUUGUAGCUAGUUUAUUCCCUUCACUCCCUGAAGAAUCAUCAAAGUCUUCAAAAUUUUCAUCUAUUGGGUCACGUUUUAAGCUGCAACUUCAGUCUCUCAUGGAGACCUUGAGCUCUACUGAACCCCAUUAUAUUAGAUGUGUGAAGCCAAACAAUCUCCUCAAGCCAGCCAUUUUUGAGAACACAAAUGUUAUACAACAACUACGAUGUGGAGGUGUUCUUGAAGCUAUCAGGAUAAGCUGUGCUGGAUACCCCACAAGAAAAACAUUCUAUGAAUUUGUUAAUCGCUUUGGUGUUCUUGGCCCUGAACUUCUAGAAGGAAGUAACGACGAUAAGAUUGCAUGCCAAAAGAUUCUGGAAAAAAUGAAGUUGGAGAACUACCAGAUAGGAAAAACAAAGGUAUUCCUGAGAGCUGGACAAAUGGCUGAUUUGGAUGCACGGAGGGCAGAAGUGUUAGGGAAAGCAGCAAGAAUUAUACAGAGACUAAUGCGUACAUAUAUUGCACGGAAACAGUUUGUUUUGGUUAGAAGAUCAGCAACGCAUCUACAAUCUUUUGUUAGAGGGACCUUGGUUCGUAAUUUGUACGAAUGCAUGAGGCGAGAAGCAGCAGCAGUCAAAAUACAAAAAAAUGUGCGUCGUCACAAAGCACGCGAAUCUUAUUUACUACUGCAAGCAGCUACAGUCACGCUGCAAACUGGCUUAAGGGCAAUGUCUGCUCGCAAAGAAUUCAGAUUCAGAAAGGAAACUAAAGCAGCUGUCCAUAUCCAAGCUCGAUGGCGCUGCCACAGAGACUAUUCACAUUACAAGAAUAUGCAGCGAGCAGUUCUUACUUACCAGUGUGCGUGGAGACAAAGGCUUGCAAGAAGAGAGCUCAGAAAUCUCAAGAUGGCCGCAAGAGAAACUGGAGCCCUCAAAGAGGCCAAAGAUAAGCUUGAGAAGCGCGUUGAAGAGUUAACAUGGCGCUUAGGACUGGAGAAGCGAUUAAGGACUGACCUUGAGGAAGCAAAAGCUCAGGAAAUUGCUAAGCUGCAAGAAACAUUGCAUGACCUACAGCUUCAAGUUGAAGAAGCAAAGACCAUGGCCACUAAGGAAAGAGAAGCAGCGAGAAAGGCAAUUGAAGAAGCACCUCCAGUAAUCAAAGAGACUCCUGUAUUGGUCGAAGACACUGAAAAAGUUAACUCGCUAACAGCUGAAGUUGAUCAACUGAAGGCUUUGCUGCAAACUGAAAGGCAAGCCACAGAGACUGCAAAGAAAGAACAUGCUGAAGCUGAACGGAGAAAUGAAGAACUAAUGAAGAAAUUCGAAGGCGCAGAGAAAAAGAUUGAGCAACUUCAGGACACUGCCCAGAGGCUGGAAGAGAAAGCAACUAACAUGGAGUCAGAGAACAAGGUGCUUCGUCAACAGGCUGUUGCAAUUUCUCCUACUGCGAAAGCAUUAGCUGCCUAUCCCAAGUCUCCUUUCCAACUGAGAACUCCGGAGAUUGUGAAUGCUCCGAAUGGGGAGGAUGUAACCCCCAUCUCACUGAAUCUCAAAGAGCUUGAGGCUGAGGAGAAGCCUCAAAAAUCACUUAACGAGAAGCAACAGGAAAACCAAGACCUGCUAAUCAAGUGUGUAUCACAAGAUUUGGGAUUCUCCAGUGGUAGGGCUAUUGCAGCUUGUGUUAUAUACAGGUGUCUUCUGCACUGGAGAUCAUUUGAAGUUGAAAGAACUGGUGUUUUUGACCGUAUUAUUCAAACAAUAGGCUCUGCUAUAGAGGUCCAGGACAAUGACGACAAGUUAGCGUAUUGGCUCUCCAAUUCAUCCACAUUACUCCUACUUCUGCAACGGACACUGAAAACGACUGGAGCAGCUGGACUCACUCCUCAGAGGCGAAGGUCAACUGCUGCAUCGUUUGGGAGGGUUUUUUCGGGAAUUCGAGCUUCACCACAAAGUGCUGCGCGACCUUUUCUUGGUAGCCGCUUGAUUGGAGGACUAGGUGAUCUUCGUCAAGUUGAAGCCAAGUAUCCUGCUCUGCUUUUCAAGCAACAACUUACAGCUUUCCUCGAGAAGAUAUAUGGAAUGAUUAGAGACAAUCUGAAGAAAGAGAUAUCUCCAUUGCUUGGUCUUUGCAUCCAGGCACCAAGAACAUCUCGUGCAAGUUUGAUAAAAGGAUCUCGUUCUCAAGCAAAUGCCUUGGCCCAACAAACUCUGAUCGCACAUUGGCAGAGUAUUGUGAAAAUAUUAACAAACUACCUGAAUGUUUUGAAAGCCAAUUAUGUCCCUUCAUUCUUAAUCAGCAAGGUGUUCACUCAGAUAUUUUCGUUUAUUAAUGUCCAGCUGUUCAAUAGUCUUCUCCUCCGACGUGAGUGCUGUUCAUUUAGCAACGGAGAAUAUGUCAAAGCUGGAUUGGCUGAGUUAGAGCAGUGGUGCAUUUAUGCCACUGAAGAGUAUGCAGGUUCUUCCUGGGAAGAGUUGAAGCAUAUUAGGCAGGCCGUUGGAUUCCUUGUAAUUCAUCAAAAGCCAAAGAAAACAUUGAAAGAAAUCACCAACGAUUUGUGCCCUGUCCUUAGCAUACAACAGCUAUAUCGAAUCAGUACAAUGUAUUGGGAUGACAAAUAUGGCACCCACACUGUUUCGUCAGAGGUCAUCUCAAGUAUGAGAAUAAUGAUGACAGAAGACUCGAACAAUGCAGUGAGCAGUUCUUUCUUGUUGGAUGACGAUUCAAGCAUUCCAUUCUCGGUGGAUGACAUCUCAAAGUCAAUGACAGAAAUCGAGGUAACGGACGUUGAUAUGCCACCUUUGAUCCGGGAGAAUUCUGGAUUUACUUUCCUACACCAAAGAAAGGACUAA